rnacentral:lncRNA from 1 species
AAUUUAUGUUUAUCCUUUUUUCCUCCAGAUUUGGAUGAAUCUUAAUCUUCCCAGAUAGAAUAAUGUACUUGUCUAGAAUUUUGUAUCAGCACAAUACAAAAGAAAAUACGUAAACUUAAAGAAAUCCUCUGUACUGCAUGUCAUACAAGAAGACAGAUAUAAGGAAACCUGAAACUUGAAGAGAAAA